UACGUAGGGGGCUAGCGUUGUCCGGAAUCAUUGGGCGUAAAGAGCGUGUAGGCGGCUUGGUAAGUCCGCUGUGAAAGUCCAGGGCUCAACCCUGGAAUGCCAGUGGAUACUGUCAAGCUAGAGUCCGGAAGAGGCGAGUGGAAUUCCUGGUGUAGCGGUGAAAUGGCGCAGAUAUCAGGAGGAACACCAAUGGCGAAGGCAGCUCGCUGGGACGGUACUGACGCUGAGACGCGAAAGCGUGGGGAGCAAACAGG
rnacentral:rRNA from 1 species